UUUAUAUACCAAGAAACCUUCGGACGUGUCCGAAGCUGACGGUAGUAUAUGAAUAAGCACCGGCUAACUCCGUGCCAGCAGCCGCGGUAAUACGGAGGGUGCAAGCGUUAUCCGGAUUUAUUGGGUUUAAAGGGUCCGUAGGCGGAUCAUUAAGUCAGUGGUGAAAGCCGACAGCUCAACUGUCGAACUGCCAUUGAUACUGGUGAUCUUGAGUACGGUUGAAGUAGGCGGAAUAUGACAUGUAGCGGUGAAAUGCUUAGAUAUGUCAUAGAACACCGAUUGCGAAGGCAGCCUACUAAGCCGUUACUGACGCUGAGGGACGAAAGUGUGGGGAGCGAACAGGAUUAGAUACCCUGGUAGUCCACACCGUAAACGAUGAUUACUCGGUAUUGGCUUUAUUGUCAG
rnacentral:rRNA from 1 species